UACGUAGGGACCAAGCGUUGUUCGGAUUUACUGGGCGUAAAGGGCGCGUAGGCGGCAAUUCAAGUCACUUGUGAAAUCUCCGAGCUUAACUCGGAACGGUCAAGUGAUACUGCUUUGCUAGAGUGCAGAAGGGGCAACCGGAAUUCUUGGUGUAGCGGUGAAAUGCGUAGAUAUCAAGAGGAACACCGGAGGUGAAGACGGGUCUCUGGGCCGAUACUGACGCUGAGGAGCGAAAGCGUGGGGAGCGAACAGG
rnacentral:rRNA from 1 species